GUUGAAAUGAGGCUCUGGGCUACUCUAGGGGAAAAUGAGGGGACCUUAAGGAUGAAUACAUUCAUUUAUUCACAUGGCAAACUUUUACCCAACACCUGUCAUUAAGUAGAGUUGGUGGUCGUUAGGUCCUGUCUAAACUCCACCCUAUAAGCCAAAGGAGAGGUGCCGGGUGCCCCGCCAGGAGACAGAAGAUCAUAAGGAAAUGAAAUGAUGUUCUUGUUCUGUGCCUCGCACCAUCCCGAGACAAGAAAUGUUAAUUUCCAUACAAUUUUUGAAACAACAACAAAAUAUAUAAAGUAUUUCCUCUGUGUAAAAGAGAGGGGAAAAAACAACUAUGUGUAUAUAUAGUUAUAAGCAGUUGGGGCAGGACAGGUCUUUGCAGUGUGAGAGUCACAGAAAGAAUCUACCCCUUUGGGGCCCAGAGUGGGCAUCUGUGGAGACACUGGCAGAUGUCCUCAACGCCACCCUCUUAGCAAGCUCUGCUGGGGAACUCUGGACUGGGGGGUCAGAAUGUUGCAACUCACUUCAGAAUGAACAAUGCAGACCACUGAAUCCCACGCUCAUCUUGGUGUCUCAGAAGUUAGUGACUAGGGCUGGG
rnacentral:lncRNA from 10 species